UAAGAGAUACCGACAGUCUUGGAACUGGGAGAGGUAAACCGUACUUCGGGGGUAGGAGUGAAAUCUUGUAAUCCUCGAGGGACGACCUAUGGCGAAGGCAGUUUACCAGAACAGCUUCGACAGUGAGGGACGAAAGCUGGGGGAGCAAACGGGAUUAGAUACCCCGGUAGUCCCAGCCGUAAACAAUGUGCGUUAGGUGUGUCGGUAACCACGCGUUACUGAUGCGCCGAAGAGAAAUCGUGAAACGCACCACCUGGGAAGUACGGUCGCAAGGCUGAAACUUAAAGGAAUUGGCGGGGGAGCACCACAACAGGUGGAGCCUGCGGUUUAAUUGGAUUCAACGCCGGACAUCUCACCGGAUAAGACAGCUGAAUGAUUGUCAAUCUGAAGGUUUUACAUGACUAGCUGAGAGGAGGUGCAUGGCCGUCGUCAGUUCGUACUGUGAAGCAUCCUGUUAAGUCAGGCAACGAGCGAGACCCACGCCGACAAUUGCCAGCAGCAUCUCCGGAUGGCUGGGGACAUUGUUGGGACCGCCUCUGCUAAAGGGGAGGAAGGAAUGGGCAACGGUAGGUCAGCAUGCCCCGAAUUAUCCGGGCUACACGCGGGCUACAAUGGACGGGACAAUGGGUAACACCACCGAAAGGUGCAGUCAAUCUCCUAACCCCGUCCUUAGUUAGGAUUGCGGGUUGCAACUCACCCGCAUGAAUCUGGAAUCUGUAGUAAUCGCGUUUCACUAUAGCGCGGUGAAUACGUCCCUGCUCCUUGCACACACCCCCCGA
rnacentral:rRNA from 1 species